GACGAACGCUGGCGGCGUGCUUAACACAUGCAGGUCGAACGGAAAGGCCCUGCUUGCAGGGUACUCGAGUGGCGAACGGGUGAGUAACACGUGGGUGAUCUGCCCUGCACUUCGGUAUAAGCCUGGGAAACUGGGUCUAAUACCGGAUAGGAGCCAUUUUUAGUGUGAUGGUUGGAAAGUUUUUUCGGUGUAGGAUGAGCUCGCGGCCUAUCAGCUUGUUGGUGGGGUAAUGGCCUACCAAGGCGGCGACGGGUAGCCGGCCUGAGAGGGUGGACGGCCACAUUGGGACUGAGAUACGGCCCAGACUCCUACGGGAGGCAGCAGUGGGGAAUAUUGCACAAUGGGCGCAAGCCUGAUGCAGCGACGCCGCGUGGGGGAUGACGGCCUUCGGGUUGUAAACUCCUUUCGCUAGGGACGAAGCUUUUUGUGACGGUACCUAGAUAAGAAGCACCGGCUAACUACGUG
rnacentral:rRNA from 1 species